GAUGAACGCUGGCGGCGUGCCUAAUACAUGCAAGUCGAGCGAACGGACGAGAAGCUUGCUUCUCUGAUGUUAGCGGCGGACGGGUGAGUAACACGUGGAUAACCUACCUAUAAGACUGGGAUAACUUCGGGAAACCGGAGCUAAUACCGGAUAAUAUUUUGAACCGCAUGGUUCAAAAGUGAAAGACGGUCUUGCUGUCACUUAUAGAUGGAUCCGCGCUGCAUUAGCUAGUUGGUAAGGUAACGGCUUACCAAGGCAACGAUGCAUAGCCGACCUGAGAGGGGGAUCGGCCACACUGGAACUGAGACACGGUCCAGACUCCUACGGGAGGCAGCAGUAGGGAAUCUUCCGCAAUGGGCGAAAGCCUGACGGAGCAACGCCGCGUGAGUGAUGAAGGUCUGCGGAUCGUAAAACUCUGUUAUUAGGGAAGAACAUAUGUGUAAGUAACUGUGCACAUCUUGACGGUACCUAAUCAGAAAGCCACGGCUAACUACGU
rnacentral:rRNA from 1 species